ACAGGUGGUGCAUGGUUGUCGUCAGCUCGUGUCGUGAGAUGUUGGGUUAAGUCCCGCAACGAGCGCAACCCUUGUCUUUAGUUGCCAUCAUUAAGUUGGGCACUCUAGAGAGACUGCCAGGGAUAACCUGGAGGAAGGUGGGGAUGACGUCAAAUCAUCAUGCCCCUUAUGCUUAGGGCUACACACGUGCUACAAUGGGUAGUACAGAGGGUUGCCAAGCCGUAAGGUGGAGCUAAUCCCUUAAAGCUACUCUCAGUUCGGAUUGUAGGCUGAAACUCGCCUACAUGAAGCUGGAGUUACUAGUAAUCGCAGAUCAGAAUGCUGCGGUGAAUGCGUUCCCGGGUCUUGUACACACCGCCCGUCACACCACGGGAGUUGGAGACGCCCGAAGCCGAUUAUCUAACCUUUUGGAAGAAGUCGUCGAAGGUGGAAUCAAUAACUGGGGUGAAGUCGUAAC
rnacentral:rRNA from 1 species